CAUGUACUCCCUCCGUUCGGAAUUACUUGUCGCGAAAAUGGAUGUAUCUAGAACUAAAAUACGUCUAGAUACAUUCAUUUCUGCGACGAGUAAUUCCAAACGGAGGGAGUAUAAG
rnacentral:pre_miRNA from 1 species